rnacentral:rRNA from 1 species
CGGCGGCGGCUACCUGCAGUCGAGCGGAUGAAAGGAGCUUGCUCCUGGAUUCUCGGCGGACGGGUGAGUAAUGCCUAGGAAUCUGCCUGGUAGUGGGGGACAACGUUUCCAAAGGAACGCUAAUACCGCAUACGUCCUACGGGAGAAAGCAGGGGACCUUCGGGCCUUGCGCUAUCAGAUGAGCCUAGGUCGGAUUACCUAGUUGGUGAGGUAAUGGCUCACCAAGGCGACGAUCCGUAACUGGUCUGAGAGGAUGAUCAGUCACACUGGAACUGAGACACGGUCCAAACUCCUACGGGAGGCAGCAGUGGGGAAUAUUGGACAAUGGGCGAAAGCCUGAUCCAGCCAUGCCGCGUGUGUGAAGAAGGUCUUCAGAUUGUAAAGCACUUUAAGUUGGGAGGAAGGGUUGUAGAUUAAUACUCUGCAAUUUUGACGUUACCGACAGAAUAAGCACCGGCUAACUCUGUGCCAGCAGCCGCGGUAAUACAGAGGGUGCAAGCGUUAAUCGGAAUUACUGGGCGUAAAGCGCGCGUAGGUGGUUUGUUAAGUUGGAUGUGAAAUCCCCGGGCUCAACCUGGGAACUGCAUCCAAAACUGGCAAGCUAGAGUAUGGUAGAGGGUGGUGGAAUUUCCUGUGUAAC